rnacentral:misc_RNA from 1 species
CUGUGUUUUCAAUUUCUCAAUAUUUAAGAAAAAAUUCUCUAAGGCAAAGUGGGCGGGGCUAUUUGUUGUUCGCUGUUCGCGGGAAUGGUUUAAGGCAAAGAGAAAACGGGCAAUUAUAAAAAUGUGUGGGAGAAAAAUUAGGAUUAAAAAAAUUUUUUUGAAGAAUUAAAUUUUUCAAAAAAAAUAAAGCUUAUAAUAAUAAACUUUAAUCUUUUUUUAAAUUUAAAGUUUAUUAUUAUAAGCUUUAUUUUUUUAAAAAAUUUAAUGUUAUUAUUAUUUUAAGCUUUAUUAUCAGAUAUUUUAAAGCAGCUUUAUUCUAAAUCUGAUAAUAAUCAUAAGCUUUAUAAUCCUAAUUUUUCUCCAGCUGCAAUAUUUAUUUGGCUCCAGACAAUUGUCAGGAAUUGCCAUUGAUAACUUUUGUGAAAGUGCCGCUGAUAAAUUGUAAAUAAUUUAGAUAUCUUUUGCAAAGGAAAUUAAAUAUAUAAUAAGCUGUCAUUAAUUUUUUAAUUUCAGAUUAUUUUCGAGAUUUUAUUCUAAAAUUAUCAAUAUAAUCAAUAUUAA